GUUAGGAAUAUUGGACAAUGGGCGAAAGCCUGAUCCAGCCAUGCCGCGUGAACGAUGAAGGCCUUCGGGUUGUAAAGUUCUUUAGCCGAUGAUUAUAAUGACUGUAGUCGGAAAAUAAGCCCCGGCUAACUUCGUGCCAGCAGCCGCGGUAAUACGAAGGGGGCGAGCGUUAUUCGGAAUCACUGGGCGUAAAGCGUGCGUAGGCGGUUUUGUAAGUUAGGAGUGAAAGCCCAGGGCUCAACCUUGGAAUUGCUCUUAAAACUGCAAGGCUCGAAUCUCGGAGAGGAUAGCGGAAUUGCCAGUGUAGCAGUGAAAUGCGUAGAUAUUGGAAGGAACACCAGUGGCGUAAGCGGCUAUCUGGACGAGUAUUGACGCUGAGGCACGAAAGCGUGGGGAUCAAACAGGAUUAGAUACCCGAGUAGUCC
rnacentral:rRNA from 1 species